rnacentral:rRNA from 1 species
AGUCGAACGAGAGAAGAGAAGCUUGCUUUUCUGAUCUAGUGGCGGACGGGUGAGUAACACGUGAGCAAUCUGCCUUUCAGAGGGGGAUACCGAUUGGAAACGAUCGUUAAUACCGCAUAAUAUAAUUGAACCGCAUGAUUUGAUUAUCAAAGAUUUAUCGCUGAAAGAUGAGCUCGCGUCUGAUUAGCUAGUUGGUAAGGUAACGGCUUACCAAGGCGACGAUCAGUAGCCGGACUGAGAGGUUGAUCGGCCACAUUGGGACUGAGACACGGCCCAGACUCCUACGGGAGGCAGCAGUGGGGAAUAUUGCACAAUGGAGGAAACUCUGAUGCAGCGAUGCCGCGUGAGGGAAGAAGGUUUUAGGAUUGUAAACCUCUGUCUUCAGGGACGAAAAAUGACGGUACCUGAGGAGGAAGCUCCGGCUAACUACGUGCCAGCAGCCGCGGUAAUACGUAGGGAGCGAGCGUUGUCCGGAAUUACUGGGUGUAAAGGGAGCGUAGGCGGGAUCGCAAGUCAGAUGUGAAAACUAUGGGCUU